ACGCUGGCGGCGUGCCUAAUACAUGCAAGUCGAACGCAUCCCGUUGAUUUGAAGUGCUUGCACUGAUAAUUAACAUCGGAUGAGUGGCGAACUGGUGAGUAACACGUGGGUAACUUGCCCAAAAGUAGGGGAUAACAUUUGGAAACAGGUGCUAAUACCGUAUAACAACGAAAAUCGCAUGAUUUUCGUUUGAAAGAUGGUUUCGGCUAUCACUUUUGGAUAGACCCGCGGUGCAUUAGCUAGUUGGUAGAGUAAUGGUUUACCAAGGCAAUGAUGCAUAGCCGACCUGAGAGGGUAAUCGGCCACAUUGGGACUGAGACACGGCCCAAACUCCUACGGGAGGCAGCAGUAGGGAAUCUUCCACAAUGGACGAAAGUCUGAUGGAGCAACGCCGCGUGAGUGAAGAAGGGUUUCGGCUCGUAAAACUCUGUUGUUGGAGAAGAACGAACGUGAGAGUAACUGUUCACGUUGUGACGGUAUCCAACCAGAAAGCCACGGC
rnacentral:rRNA from 2 species